GUCCACGCCCUAAACGAUGUCGACUAGUUGUUGGGGGAGUUAAAUCCCUUAGUAACGCAGCUAACGCGAGAAGUCGACCGCCUGGGGAGUACGGUCGCAAGAUUAAAACUCAAAGGAAUUGACGGGGGCCCGCACAAGCGGUGGAUGAUGUGGUUUAAUUCGACGCAACGCGAAAAACCUUACCUACCCUUGACAUGUACGGAACUCCGCAGAGAUGUGGAGGUGCCCGAAAGGGAGCCGUAACACAGGUGCUGCAUGGCUGUCGU
rnacentral:rRNA from 1 species